AGACCUGGAAUUGUUGUCGGAUUGUUAGAGCAGCCUAGGCGGGAGGAGUUUCGAGCUGGAGUUGGAGAACAGGGCAGGGUCUGAGGGAAAAUCAGAAAGCCCAAAGACAGACUUGCUGCACGCAGGUCUCUGCGGGAAGGUGUGCAUGUUCUUUCCUGUUUAUGAAUGCCGGGCACCGGUGUGAAUGGAGCUGUGGAAGCUCCUGUUCACCCUCUGUCCACAUGCGUGGCACUUCAUGUCACCUGCAAGAUUCCUUUCUCAUUGUUCUUUCCCCAGAUACAGUACUGUCUCAGUGGCUCCCUGACAGCCACCAUUCAACUCCAGGCAGUAUAGAGAUGAACAUUCAAUGUCCUUCCCUCUGCGACCCCACAAACCACCUCUACCUUCUUCUGCUUCCUAUAUGUCCUAUCUUCGGCCCCAGCCCCUCUCUCUUUCUUUGAAACAGGGUCUCGGCCUGUGUCCCCAGCUACUUUUGAACUUGCAAAUCUCCUUUCUCAGCCUAGCCAGUCCUGAGGUUGCAGGCAUAUGCCACUGGACCUGGCUCCAUUCGUGUACUUGGAAAAGCAGUGUAUCAGCAGACCCGUGCAGCAGUAACGGCCUCUCUGCCUUGGCUUAGACAGAGUGACAGAUAAACUAUUAAGCCUCUGGGAAUCCGGUUUUGACAGAGAGGGAAACAGUAUGCUUCCUCCCUGACAGACUGGCAGGGCCUCAAACAGAUGGAUGGGUGGAGGCUUCAGACAGAGGUUCUGAAGGGAGCCCUCCAUAGAAAGAGAAUGGCCUCCAGCCUUCGUGAGCAGCGGGGUGGGCUAAGGAGCUCCACCAUGACCGCACACGUGAGAAAGAGGCUAGUGCAGCUCAGGCUGCACCCUGCACAUCUGAUGACUGGGGGCUGGUGGGUUACGUUCAUGAAUUCACACAGAUCAUGUCUGUAUAUCAGUCUGUGUCGCUGCUAAUCUCUCUAGAUGACAAGUCAGAGACGGCAAGGAGAUGAGUUAAGACGUUGCUCUGUACUGGAUGGAAGAGGGCAGAUUAUGCAGACAGUUUCUCACAGGGAAAAGCGACUUAAUUGCAAUGGAGAUGAGGUCCGGGACUUUCCAGGUUCCCACAGGAACAUCCAGUGCAUGCAGUGUUUGCCUAGCGCUCUCAAGCCAGGGGACCUGCGUGUGGUCUGUUCACGCGUGAUUUAUGGUUACUGUUCACAGAGGAUGGAGGAGUCCCUCUAACCUGCAGGUUUCUGUCAAUGCACCAGUUUGUUUCGAAGUCGUCGUCGUCUUCCCCGAAAGGGUUGAUCAGCUGCUCGGCAACCUGCAGUUGACAACACGGGGUGAUUGGAAGCAGCUCGGGAGAAGACUGAGGAGCUUGCGGUUCACCCCACCCCAGGUGAUUGCUCACUGUCGGUUUUAAAAUAUGGAGCCUAUGGGUAGUGGGCUAUUCUACAGAUGUUUACCAGUGGGCAAGCCUCUUCAUAGGCCCUUCUCUGCAAAUGGACCUGACUGCUUAUUUGAUGGUGCUGUCCUACCCCAGGGAAGCCAGGAGCUCCGGGGAGCCCCAGUUGAUAAUGUGUGGUCGGACAGCAAUGAAAGGACAUGCUACUUGUCACUGGAGUCCGAUUUGAAAUGCCAGCCUGGGCUGGAGAGAUGACUCAGUGGUUAAAAGCACCGGCUGCUCUUUCAGAGGUCCUGAGUUCAAUUCCCAGCAACCACAUGGAGGCUCACAGCCAUCUGUAAUGAGAUCUGAUGCCCUCUUCUGGUGUGUCUGAAGACAGCUACAGUGUACUCAUAUUUAAUAAAUAAAUAAAUCUUUAAAAAAAAAAGAAA